rnacentral:rRNA from 1 species
UACGUAGGUGGCAAGCGUUGUCCGGAUUUACUGGGCGUAAAGAGCGCGCAGGCGGCUGAUUAAGUCGAAUGUGAAAGCCCCCGGCUCAACUGGGGAGGGUCAUUCGAUACUGAUCAACUUGAAGGCAGGAGAGAGAAGUGGAAUUCCCGGUGUAGUGGUGAAAUGCGUAGAUAUCGGGAGGAAUACCGAUGGCGAAGGCAGCCCCCUGGGUCAAGAUUGACGCUCAUGCACGAAAGCGUGGGGAGC